rnacentral:rRNA from 1 species
UACGAAGGGGGGCUAGCGUUGCUCGGAAUCACUGGGCGUAAAGGGCUCGUAGGCGGUUUGUCGCGUCGGGAGUGAAAUCCACUGGCUUAACUGGUGGCUUGCUUUCGAUACGGGCAGACUGGAGGUAUGCAGGGGAGAACGGAAUUCCUGGUGCAGCGGUGAAAUGCGCAGAUAUCAGGAGGAACACCGGUGGCGAAGGCAGGUCUCUGGGCCACUACUGACGCUGAGAAGCGAAAGCGUGGGGAGCGAACAGG